rnacentral:rRNA from 1 species
GAUGAACGCUGGCGGCGUGCCUAACACAUGCAAGUCGAGCGGCCGGACGUGAAUCUUUCUUCUCUGAUUUUAGCGUCGCACGGGUGUGUAAAAUGUGGCUAACUCACCUCUAUGACUGGGAUUACUUCGGGAAACCUUACCUAAUUCCGGCUUAUAUCUUUCACCUCAUGGUUCAAAAGUGAAAGACGUCCUUGCUGUCACUUAUCGAUUGUUCCGCGCUGCAUUAGCUAGUUGGUAAGGUAACGGCUUACCAAGGCCACGAUGCAUAGCCGACCUGAGAGGGUGAUCGGCCACACUGGAACUGAGACACGGUCCAGACUCCUACGGGAGGCAGCAGUAGGGAAUCUUGCGCAAUGGGCGAAAGCCUGACGGAGCAACGCCGCGUGAGUGAUGAAGGUCUUCGGAUCGUAAAACUCUGUUAUUAGGGAAGAACAUAUGUGGAAGUAACUGUGCACAUCAUGACGGUACCUAAUCAGAAAGCCACGGCUAACUACGUG